UUCGCAAUUCCCCAAAGCAAUUAGGCUGCUCGAAAGCCGCCCUGGGCAGAGCCCCAAAAAAUUUCCUUCUAUCUAUCUCAACGUCUGCAAAUAUCACUUCGAUGAUCUGAUUGUAUAAUGGUUAGUUCACUCCUCUAAAAACCAUCGGAAAAUCUUCUACAGCUGUCCAGUUCCUGUUCAGUGAAGCUAUAAUUUUGCUUGAUAGAAAGUUAUUGAAAUUGCUUUGUUGACAUGGGUGAUAGCAAUAGUUAUUCGCCGCCUGGGUCCCCUAAAGAAAACCCAGAUCAUGAUUCUCAGAAAAAACCAAUUACCAAGGAUGAUGGAACACUGGAGACCAUAGUCCGUAGGAUCCAGGACUCCAUUUCUAAAGGCAAGAAACACAAAUUUUGGGAAACCCAACCAGUCGGUCAAUUCAAAGACAUUGGGGACACAAGUUUGGCUGAGGGCCCUAUUGAGCCUCCGACUCAAUUGUCUGACGUGAAGCAAGAAGCUUAUAAUCUCCCUAGCCCAUAUGAAUGGACCACUUGUGACAUGGACUUGGAAGAGACUUGCGCCGAGGUUUACAAUCUCUUGAAGAAUAAUUAUGUCGAGGAUGAUGAGAACAUGUUUAGAUUCAAUUAUUCCAAAGAGUUCUUAAGAUGGGCUCUGCGCCCUCCUGGUUAUUAUAAAAGCUGGCACAUUGGGGUCCGUGCCAAAGCUUCAAAGAAGCUCGUUGCUUUUAUAACAGGUGUGCCUGCAAGAAUUAGGGUGCGUAAUGAAGUUGUGAAAAUGGCUGAGAUCAAUUUCUUAUGUGUUCAUAAGAAGCUCAGGUCAAAGAGACUUGCCCCAGUUAUGAUUAAGGAGGUUACCAGGAGGGUUCAUUUGGAGAAUAU
rnacentral:misc_RNA from 1 species